UACGGAGGUGGCUAGCGUUGUUCGGAAUUACUGGGCGUAAAGGGCGCGUAGGCGGCUUUGCAAGUCGGAUGUGAAAGCCCCGGGCUCAACUCGGGAAUUGCAUCCGAAACUGCUUUGCUUGAGUCCUGGAGGGGGUAGUGGAAUUCCCAGUGUAGCGGUGAAAUGCGUAGAUAUUGGGAGGAACACCGGUGGCGAAGGCGGCUACCUGGACAGUGACUGACGCUGAGGCGCGAAAGCUAGGGGAGCGAACGG
rnacentral:rRNA from 1 species